GUGGGGAAUAUUGGACAAUGGGCGCAAGCCUGAUCCAGCCAUGCCGCGUGAGUGAUGAAGGCCCUAGGGUUGUAAAGCUCUUUCGCACGCGACGAUAAUGACGGUAGCGUGAGAAGAAGCCCCGGCUAACUUCGUGCCAGCAGCCGCGGUAAUACGAAGGGGGCUAGCGUUGUUCGGAAUCACUGGGCGUAAAGGGCGCGUAGGCGGCUGUUCAAGUCGGGGGUGAAAGCCUGUGGCUCAACCACAGAAUGGCCUUCGAUACUGGACGGCUCGAGACCGGAAGAGGUUGGUGGAACUGCGAGUGUAGAGGUGAAAUUCGUAGAUAUUCGCAAGAACACCGGUGGCGAAGGCGGCCAACUGGUCCGGUUCUGACGCUGAGGCGCGAAAGCGUGGGGAGCAAACAGGAUUAGAAACCCUAGUAGUCC
rnacentral:rRNA from 1 species